UGUGUCCUACGGGAGGCAGCAGUGGGGGAUACUGCACAAUGGGGGAAACCCUGAUGCAGCGACGCCGCGUGUGGGAAGACGGUCCUCUGGAUUGUAAACCACUGUCCCCAGGGACGAAGAUGACGGUACCUGGGGAGGAAGCUCCGGCUAACUACGUGCCAGCAGCCGCGGUAAUACGUAGGGGGCAAGCGUUAUCCGGAUUUACUGGGUGUAAAGGGAGCGUAGACGGCAUGGCAAGUCAGAUGUGAAAGCCCGGGGCUCAACCCCGGGACUGCAUUUGAAACUGUCAGGCUGGAGUGCAGGAG
rnacentral:rRNA from 1 species